AAGGUAGCCGUAUCGGAAGGUGCGGCUGGAUCACCUCCUUUCUAA
rnacentral:rRNA from 1 species